rnacentral:rRNA from 1 species
GAUGAACGCUAGCGGCAAGCUUAAUACAUGCAAGUCGAGGGGCAGCAUGAAGUAGCAAUACUUUGAUGGCGACCGGCAAACGGGUGCGGAACACGUACACAACCUUCCUUUUAGUGGGGAAUAGCCCAGAGAAAUUUGGAUUAAUACCCCGUAACAUAACUGAGUGGCAUCACUCGGUUAUUAUAGCUUCGGCGCUAAAUGAUGGGUGUGCGUAUGAUUAGAUAGUUGGCGAGGUAACGGCUCACCAAGUCUACGAUCAUUAGCUGAUGUGAGAGCAUGAUCAGCCACACGGGCACUGAGACACGGGCCCGACUCCUACGGGAGGCAGCAGUAAGGAAUAUUGGUCAAUGGACGCAAGUCUGAACCAGCUAUGCCGCGUGAAGGAUUAAGGUCCUCUGGAUUGUAAACUUCUUUUAUCUGGGACGAAAAAAGGUCUUUCUAGACCCCUUGACGGUACCAGAUGAAUAAGCACCGGCUAACUCCGUGCCAGCAGCCGCGGUAAUACGGAGGGUGCAAGCGUUAUCCGGAUUCACUGGGUUUAAAGGGUGCGUAGGCGGGUAGGUAAGUCAGUGGUGAAAUCCUGGAGCUCAACUCCAGAACUGCCAUUGAUACUAUCUAUCUUGAAUAUUGUGGAGGUAAGCGGAAUAUGUCAUGUAGCGGUGAAAUGCUUAGAUAUGACAUAGAACACCCAUUGCGAAGGCAGCUUACUACGCAUAUAUUGACGCUGAGGCACGAAAGCGUGGGGAUCAAACAGGAUUAGAUACCCUGGUAGUCCACGCCCUAAACGAUGGAUACUCGACAUACGCGAUACACUGUGUGUGUCUGAGCGAAAGCAUUAAGUAUCCCACCUGGGAAGUACGUUCGCAAGAAUG